rnacentral:piRNA from 1 species
UGAAUGAGAGAGCAGUGCGUUAUUUC